rnacentral:lncRNA from 1 species
GUGGUGCCCUCGUGCCAGCCGCAGAUAUGAGGCGGCAUACGCCGCAUGGCACGCGCCCUCGCUCGCGCCUCUCAUCUGCUGCCUGCAGUAGGGUGUGGUCGGGUUGCAGUAGGGCGGGAAAGUGGUCGCUGCUGCCGCCCGGCCGCAUGGCCUCGCGCAUGUCGACUGGCAGGCGGCAGGGGAUCUGGGCGGCGGAAAGGAAAGGAAAGGAAAGGGAAGGGGAAGGGAGGAGGCGGGGCGCAGGGGGAGGGGCUUGGCACAGUUUGGCAGGUGCAUGGGACGCCGUGGUGGGUUGGCUGGGCAAGUUUCACAACCGAACACUGCAGGCCCAGUCGCAGACUGAGACGUGCUUCCUGCUGCCACAUCAGAGGCAAAACCCUCAUCCAGAGGCGCUGGGCUCAGCCUUCGACCUUGGCCCCUUGCAACUCACACCGCCUCUCUUUCCCUGGAUUCCCCGUAUUGACCAGUGCCCGCUGCCCCUCUCUCACCUUUGUGCGUGUCCCCCAUCCAUUCGCCUCCCUCCCUCUCUCCCUCUGUCCCUCCCUCCCUCCCUCCCCCCAUGUAUCCCCACGCUCGCUCACCCCCGGGAACACGUACUGGCGGCCCAGCAGUGGAGCCAUGACGUCAGCCACGUACGAUAGCUCCCGACCCGCAGCGUCGCCUGAGGCGGCCGCGGAGGCAAGUUGUUUCGUUGUGUGUUGUUGUGGGGUUGUUGGUGCUGGAUGUUGCAUUUUUGUUUGGGUUUGGUGUUGAUGUGGGAAGGAAACGGUGCGCAUGCAUGUGCAGGGGAUGGGGGUUACGCGGUAGGAGAGGGGCCAGCAGGGCCGCGGCACGGAGCCGUCGUGUGCUGCCCUGCCACAUACACAGCCGGGCCCGGCCUGACCCUGGGCCUGACCCACAUCCGCCCACUUGCGUCAGACAGCUCGACACGCUCCGCAGCUGUGAAAGUGCACCCAUCCAUGCACGCAGCCACGGUCCCACACGCCUACGCACCCGGCUUGUGGACCAGCACGCCCUCCCACAGCGCGAUGUCCACCUCUGAGGCGGCGUGCGCGGUGCCCUUGCG